AACGAACGCUGGCGGCGUGGCUAAGACAUGCAAGUCGAACGGUACGUUGUAGCAAUAUGACGUACAGUGGCGGACGGGUGAGUAAUAAAUAGGUAACGUAUCUCGGACACAGGGAUAGCGUCGGGGCGAAAGCCCCUUUGCGAAAGUGACGGUAAUACCUGAUGACGUCCUUGAGGGGCAUCCCUCAAGGACCAAAAGGUGGGCCUUACGGCCUGCUGGUCUGGGCGCGGCCUAUUCCCUANCAGCUUGUUGGUGAGGUAACGGCUCACCAAGGCAACGACGGGUAACCGGACUGAGAGGUUGGCCGGUCACAUCGGGACUGAGACACUGCCCGGACAUCUACGGAUGGCUGCAGUAACGAAUAUUCCCGCAAAUGGGCGAAAAG
rnacentral:rRNA from 1 species